AAUAAUUUAGUCUAAUUUCUGUAUAUGUAUGUUUAGUUAAAUCAUCAUUGUUUGACACCACCGUCUCGUUCUGUCGUAUAAUAAAUGACAGCUUAAAAACUGGACAGAUGUGAUGUCACACGAUUUUCCCCAUACGGUACUUCUUAUUUGGAUGGUGCACAAUACUUAUUUAAAAGUCAAAAUAACCUAUCAACAAAUACACACAAAAAAGAAAAAAAAUACAAAGUUUUGUUUUAUCUUACAAAAACAAAAUGCACGCAUAAACAAAAUAUAUAAGACGACAAACAAAAAGGUGUAAUUAUAUAUAAGCCGUGUAAUUGUUAUGUUUCUUUAUUUCUUCAUGGAUCAGUGAUUUUAUAACCUGGUUAAUUACUGGCACGUGCCGUCGGACAAAACCUUUGAUGACAGAAAAAAUCAAAUUACGACUUAACUACAAGUUUUAAUGACUAAAAAAUUCAGAUACAUUAUCUUCAUGAAAAACUAC
rnacentral:lncRNA from 1 species